UGGAUUAUCCGCUUCCAGUCCCUCGUCAUAGUUCGUUUCUUGUUUUGUUUAUCGACCUAGAUUCCUGCCUUGCCCCGUGUAUGCCUGUUUGCCAAUCACCUGACCUCUUGCAUGUUUGUGGAUUUCAUUUUGGAUCACGUUUUGGAUUUGUCUGCCUGUCUCUCAGUUCAAAUAAACAACUGUUCAUCCUGCACUUGCAUCCGUCCUAUCUCUUCUCCGUCACGAUUCAUGACACACUAUUACAAGGUGGUCAGGGUACACUGCCUUUCCAGAGAAGGUCCUUCAUAAAUACUGUAGCGUUAGUGUCUUCAGAAUUUAGAUCCUUUUUUUUUUUUGUUGUUUUUUUUCCUUCCCCAGUGUUUGCUCAAAGGAGACACAGAAGGCAGCUGCUUGAUGGACAGAUGCAUGAAGCAAGUACCACAGUGUGUCCUGGGGUUGCAGAGUUGGCACAGCAAGUCAUCAUUUCCAAGGAGAUGUACAACUGGAUUCUAAACAUCACACCAAGCAAACUCAACAUGAAUUUCCAAGAGGUGCUGGUCGACCUCACCACUAAAAAUGAACAUGGUCUAUAUGAAGCACGCAUCAAAGCAACUGUAGGCGGACAUCCUUUGACCUUCUACAGUCUUGUGGGCUUGGAGAAUGAUUCAUUUUAUAGGAGCAUGCCACGCAUCAUUGCUCUAGCAUUUGAUGCACUUAAAACUUAAAGAGGCAUGUAAACAAACAUACUCCACACUGCAGUCUGUAUUGGUAUGGAUAGUGGGUAUUAAUCACCCAAUCUUACAUCCAGCACUGUCUGGGUUCAGUAUAAUUUCACUUGUUUGAAGUGACAUACAGGAGUAAACUUCAAUUGACCUUGGGUAUAUAACUUGCUAGAGAAAAGUUACUUACUAUUAUUUGAAGGCUGCUCCCUUCAAGUGCUGGACAGAACUGAUUAAAGUGAUGCAUUUUGUCCACAGACUUCUGCAGCCUGAGACUUCAGGUUGGGUUUAAAUAAUAUUUUUUCAUAAAUUAUACAAAUUUCAGCUGCCUAUUAGCGGUCAGCGGAAUAAUUGCUUCUUGAAGUAUUUUUCAGUAGUCAUUAGUUCCAUAUUCUGGGGAACAAUAUGUCAAAAAAUGUUCGAUAUUUUAAUUUAAAGACUUUUAAUUAAAAAACUUACAGAAAUUGAGCAGGGUUCUGUGAGCUGAACCUAUCUGGUACUUGGAGUUUUUCUAGAACUGAUGUUCUGAUAUCAUAUUUUUCACUGAUAUUAUUUCUAUGGGCCAUGUGAUCCAUAUGGGCCACGUGACCCAUAUAAGCAAUGUGACCCAUAUGGGACACAUGACCCAUAUGGGCCAUGUGUCCUUAAUUUAUUCAUUGCAAUACAGGAGAGGUGGAACCUCUUUUGAACUGGACUGAUGCCAUUUUUAAUGUAUUUAUUUGUAUAGAUAAAACCACUUCAUAUUUUUGUAAAAAAGAAAGAAAUAAAAGAAUGCAAAUGAAAUUUAUCUCAAUAAAUGCUUACAUUUUUAUUCAGACUAACGUGCUUAUUGUGCCAAAACACAAUAUGAGGAUGUAUAAUCAGAAGUAUA